rnacentral:lncRNA from 1 species
AUAACAUAGCACAUAUUAUACUUUCACAUUCAAAUAAUCGAAACAACAACUGUCACUUUCCAUCAGCCUGCUGGCAUCCAUGGGGGUUCAUAGGGAUGUCCCCGCUACGCAUGAAUCCUUUUCUUUAACAUUCUCAAUUAACAGGCCGUCCUCAUAUCCCGUUCGGUAUGAGCGCCAAAUUACUAAACCUCAAUACCCCAUUCGGUAUGAGGGUGAAACGGGCCGUCCCCAUACCUUGUCCGAUAUGAGCACUAAAUUACCAAGUCUCGAUACCCCCUCCGGUAUGAGACAACAUUCACAGUAGGGUUCCCUAUUAUACCCAGUCCGUCCACCAUCUCUCAGAUAUCAAGUAAGGCUGCCGUUUCAUCCAUUUACUUAAUCACACAAUUUUUCAUUUUUCUUUAGUUUUCAUUUUUUGAAUUCGAUCGUAAUCACAUGAAUUAAAAAAUGCAUGUAUUCAAAACUAUAAAAUUGAUCAAUAAGGUACUAUCAUGCAUUUAAACUCUAAAAACAACCAACAGAACAACAAUAUAUAAUUUCUGAUUCUGGCUCCAUUAGUAAUCU